rnacentral:lncRNA from 1 species
CUUCGCCUGUGCUGCUGGGGUACCUCUUCCAGCUUAGUUCCAUCUGAAAGGAAUCUGGUCUGUGCUUGGAGACUGCACAGUAUGUGGGGCAUUCUGGCUUCAGAAGCACGCUGCUACUCCAGACUUGAGCACUGAUGUAAUGGGAAGGGGCAGAGGGAAUACUCAGAAUGUACUAUUUCAUGUUACAGGUGCUGACAGCAUGUGGAGCUGAGAGCAGUGAAAGUCCAAAGGACUGGGGCACCAGAGGAGGUCACCAGGAGCUGUCAUGACUGCAGGACAUAUAUAAGCCCUGCAGGAAAGAGAAAGGGAGAAUGAUUCAUUGGUUGAUGCAAGCCUCUGUAGAAGUACUGAUCUAGUUGGAUCGGUAACUAACUUGGAUGGAUUUGCAACCAGCAGCUCAGCAGCUGAUUCAUGAACCGUCCUUCCAGGAGGGAACAUCACAAAGAUGGGUGUGAAGAACACUUGUCCAUUCGUAAUUGAAACUAUUCAAGAUGCAUGGGCCUGAAAGGGCAUUAUAAGUUUCUCUUGCUCUCUGGUGUAGUAAAGAUCUUGUCUUCUAGCAAACAAUAUGAAUGAAAGAUUUUCUUACAAGAAGAGACGGAGUAGACUGAAUCAAGCCUCUGUCAAGAACCACUUCUGCAAUACUGAAUUAACAUACCUAAGAUCAGCACAUCAGGAAGAUAGCCUUCUACCAAGAAUAGUGUGGAGAUACACCUUGUUCACAGAAGCUCUGGAAACAUCAUGAGACUCAGACAGAUACAGUGCAUCCUCCGAUUGCGGAGAUGUUGCUGCUCUCUGAGCACUGCACACUCUGUGUUCAUGACUGAUGGAAAUAAUGCCCGG